GUGAAUCAUCGAAUCUUUGAACGCAAAUUGCACUCCCUGGUAUUCCGGGGAGUAUGCCUGUUUGAGGGUCGGUAGAAGAAAAAUCGAAGCAAUUCUCUUUUUUUUGAGGGGGAUAGCGUCUUAAUUGAGCCGAUUUUCAAAUGUUAAUUCAUUUCAAAGUUGCUUAAAAUUUAUCCAUCCUGUACGAUUAAAACGUAUUUAAAAUCAAUUUUGAUUUAAAACGCGCCAUGACGU
rnacentral:misc_RNA from 1 species